rnacentral:ncRNA from 1 species
AGUGGCUGAUGUCACACUGCCGAGAAAAGCUUCUAGUGAGUAUCUUACUACCCGUACCGCAAACCGACACAGGUAGUCGAGGAGAGUAUCCUAAGGUGUGCGAGUGAACUCUCGUUAAGGAACUCGGCAAAAUGACCCCGUAACUUCGGGAGAAGGGGUGCUGCACGCAAGUGCAGCCGCAGUGAAGAGGCUCAGGCGACUGUUUAUCAAAAACACAGGUUUCUGCAAAAUCGUAAGAUGA